rnacentral:rRNA from 1 species
UACGUAGGGGGCAAGCGUUGUCCGGAUUUAUUGGGCGUAAAGAGCGUGUAGGCGGCCUGAAAGGUCAGCUGUGAAAACUCGAGGCUCAACCUCGAGACGUCGGUUGAAACCACCUGGCUGGAGUCCGGAAGAGGAGUGUGGAAUUCCCGGCGUAGCGGUGAAAUGCGCAGAUAUCAGGAAGAACCCCCGUGGCUAAGGCGGCUCUCUAGUACGGUACUGACGCUGAGACGCGAAAGCGUGGGGAGCGAACAGG